CUGAGUAGCUGGGAUUACAGGUGCCUGCCACAAUACCCGGCUGAUUUUUGUUUGUUUGUUUGUUUAUUGUAUUUUUGGUAGAGACAGGCUUUCACCAUGUUGACCAGGCUGGUCUCGAAAUCCUGACUCAUGUGAUCCACCUGCCUCGGCCUCCCAAAGUGCUGGGAUUACAGUUUUUUCAGCUGAAGCCUUGGGGAGCACUGAGGCCAAGGCUGUACCGUACCAAAAAUUUGAAACAUAUGUGAAUGAGCUGAAUGUGGAAGGACUACCGGAAAACACUCCUUUCAGAAUCCCCUCAUUGCAUGGAAUCCCAAGGCUCGAAAACAUCUUUCAACUUGGUGAAAGGUAGAAGUCACGUGUGAGAAGGCGGUGGAGCCAGGCACAUGAUGGAGCCUCGAAGAGUGGAAGGUGGCACCUGGCUCUGUGAGGAGGGUGUGAAGUCCUCCAUGGGAAGAAGAGAUGCCAGCAAAGGAGGUGAGGAUGGGCGGAAGAGGAGGCUGAGCAGCAAGUGAAUAGAAGCGCUCGACCUCAGAAGAGGAGAGUCCCAUGUCUUUAUUGGUAGUAUUCUAAUGUGGUUCAUACUGGAGUUAUUUUCUGUGGCUGAAUGGUUCAACUACUCUGAAAUCCAGUGGGAGGGUGGGGAACAACUCCUACUAAACCUUUGAGAUGCUGAGUUUUCUUUUAAAAUAAAGGAAAUAUUACAAGAUUUUCUGAAACUGUCAACCUUUAGCAAUAUUUUCAGAUGUUCUCCAACAUUUUCCUUUGUCAGCAAUCAGAGAUGACCUUUGUCAGCAAUCAGAGAUGACCUCCACACUGAGGCGAAUCUUCCACUCCCCUUACCCUUUUCCUUUUGUCUCUCUUUCCCUCCUCUCUUCAUCCAGUAACUCCAGUUAGCCUCCAUUGUCUCCAAGACGGCUUUCGUCCUCAUCCGCAACGCCUCCACACAAGCUCUGAACACCUGUCCGUUGCUAACUUGAGACUGCCAUGCUGUUAGGAAGUUCAAGUUCACCACAUGGAGAUGAAAUAAGAUAUCGUGAUAAACAUCCCCAGCUGAUCCCAGCCUCCAGUGAUCUGUCAACUACAUAUAUGAUCCUAAGUCACAUGUGUGACCCCAAGCAAGAUCAGCAGAACAAUCACUCAGCCAACCCACAGAACCCUGAAAAAAUAUAAAUCAUUAUAGUUUAAACCACAAGUUUUGGGUAGCUUGUUAUGCUGCUAUUGAUAAUUAAAACAAAAUGGAAUAUUUUCAUCUAGAUGGCAAUCUACUCAAUUGCUGAAUCCUUUGUGUUUCCCUCUUUGCCCUGGUUGGUAAGAAUCUCAGAGCUAAGUUGCGUGUUCAUUGCUGUGUCUUUCUUCAACCAGGAAUUCUCAUCACAAUUGGUCCAUUUCUCUUUCAGAUUUUUGUCUUUUAUAUUAAUUGGUUUGGGUCUUACUAUACCUCUGUUUUUCUUUUAAACUGACUAAAAUUAUUUGGAAAGUAGCCAGGGUACCUGCAAAAUAAUAAAUGAAGGUUUGCAGUGGAUGUGUAAAAGAAUAAUGACUGCUAAAAGGAAAAUAAUAGUAAUUAUUAAUAUGUGACUACAACAAAAUAUUAAUAUAUUUUUAAGCCAGGCUCUAUUCUAAAAUAUUUUCAUGCAUCCUAUUAUUUAAUUCAUGCAGCAAUUAUGAACAAGUACUGCUAUCCCCCAUUUUACAGGUAAAGAAACUGAGGUACAAAGUUGUUGUGGCUUGCCCCAAAGUCUCAUAGCUAGUAAGUGGCAGUGCCAGGGUACAAUUCAGGUCUGCCCAAUGUCAGAGCCCACAUUCAUGACCAUUAUGGAACAUUUCUUCACAAGGCUUUUCUGUUGUGUUUAGCUUAUUUUGCUGUUGUACCAAAAUUUACAAGACUCAUGAUUUGGCUCUCUGUUUGUCUGUUAUUGGUGUAUAAGAAUGCUUCUGAUUUUUGUACAUUGAUUUUGUAUCCUGAGAAUUUGCUGAAGUUGCUUAUCAGCUUAAGGAGAUUUUGGGCUGAGACAAUGGAGUUUUCUAGAUACACAAUCAUGUAAUGUGCAAAUAGGGACAAUUUGACUUCCUCUUUUCCUAAUUGAAUACCCUUUAUUUCCUUCUCCUGCCUAAUUGCCCUGGCCAGAGCUUCCAACACUAUGUUGAAUAGGAGUGUUGAAAAAAAAAAAAAAGACAAGGAAUUAUCUCCUGUUAACUUUUAAGUAUAAAACUUGUCAUCGGGUUAUUUAGUCUUGUAAAGAAAAGAUUCAAAAGUCAGAAAUGGAGCAGCUGUUCCUGAAUCAGGCAAACAGCAUUCAAAGAAAAUUAAUUUUCUCCACUUUCAUAAAAGAAAUUCAAGCCCUAGUUUCUGAUGCCACAAUCAUUGCAGUUAACAAAGCUAUUUUAAUACCCUCAUUUUGUCCUUUGAUAGAUAGAUAUUCUUUCAAAUGUGUAUUCUCAGAGAAACUAGUCCUUUUGCAAGACUGUCUAAAAUGCUCCAAAAGCAGGAUGCUGGCCAGGUUGACCUCAUGAGACUCACUCUGCCUGAAAGAUUCCACUCUCCAAUCAGUGAGACUGGCUUCCCAUUCCCCAAAGUUAAUUUGCACUUGAAUAGUCCAGAAAAGUGAGGAGUUUCUCUGUCCUGAUUUGUUCCUAAUAACUAGGUUCUCACAGGGCUAGGGCCCCUGCCAAUCAGCACCCCCCAUUCUGCCCCACACAAGUGCAGAUACGAAUCUGGCCCUACCUCUCUGGCUUUGUGUAGGCUGCAAGUGAGAGCUUUCACUGCAUGAGGACAAAGCUUUCUGUUUCCUCUCAAACUGUCAAUGACAAACAUACUGACAAAAAUAUUUUGGUACAGUUCUUUUAAAUGUUCACUCUUAAUGUAGUGUGGUAAGCUAAUGUUUGCUAAAAUAAACAAAGUGCUAAGAAAAUUC